rnacentral:lncRNA from 1 species
CACCUUAUGGAGAAGACAGGUGUUUGUAGGAGGUAUGCUGGGAAGAGCUUUGCUAUAUCUCCGGAAGGAAGAAGAUUGUUUCCCCUUGGGGGAUGGCACUUUCAACAUGUGGGAGCUUGUCGGGUCACAGAAGAAUGACAGACUCCUGGGAAGUUGGAGCUAAUGUGAACCCGUCUUUCUGUGUCCUGGUUGCACAUCACUGUUCUUAAAGACUGUGACUCUAUCAGUCUGGAGUGAAGCUUCAGUAUCUGCAUAUCUUUACAGAGUUACCAAACACUUGAGGGCACAUACUGGACAAUCCAUAGAGAGUUCUCAGCUGGGGUCCUUCUUGUCAUCAAUAGUGCAUGACAGCUUUUAGCUAAACUUGGAGAAAGUGACAAUGCUGUUUCAUGCCCCACAAAGAAAAAAAACCUUGAUCUCUGGCAUGAAGAGUCCAUUGAAACAAGGUAUUGAGACAUCAGAUAUUUAGGAUGAAGGUUUCGUGAGGAACCAGGUACUUGAGGACAAUGAUAGCUGCCUAAAUCUACCACACCACAAUGCAGAAGACUGCACAAGGGAAGAACCUUGAGAACCACAUAAAACUCAGGCUCUGCUGCAAGCCUUUCUUGCAGGCAAAGGCAGUCUAAUAAACAUUUUUUAAAAAUCUUGCAUAGAAGAGAGAAGAAGGGAGUGAGCAGCAGAUCUAAAAUCUUUCUGAAACCACCACUAGGAUGAUAAAGUUAUCCUAACUGUGAAAAUACGGAAAAAAAGUGCAUUACUGCAUCACAGUGCUGAUUACAGGGAAGAGACUUAUAAUACAUGUGCUUUGAAGUGGCAGUCUUCAAAAGGUACAGCUUCUGAGAGAAAAAGAUGAAAAACUAAGAGGGAGGCACUGCAGUGACUGGGUGGUAAAAAAUAAAAGAAGUGGAAGGAAAAGUUACAGUCUUACAAGGCAAAGGGUAACAUGAAAGUCAGAGGGUACAUAACCACUUCCUGCAUCAACAGAAAUCUCAUCCCUGAAAAAAUGUAGACUGUUGCUAUACAGACAGAGGAGGAUGACAAGCCAUUAAACUAGAAAUCUUGUAAACCACCACUCAUAUGCAAAACGAAUAGUAUUGAGAGGUGAAGCUAGCAGGGCUUCUUGGUCGAGUGUGGACUUGGAGAACUUUUCUGUCUAGCUAGAGGAUUGUAAACGCACCAAUCAGCACUCUGCAUCUAACUAAAGGAUUGUAAAUGCACCAAUCAGCACUCUGUAAAAUGGACCAAUCAGCACUCUGUAAAGUGGAAGAAUCAGUGCUCUGUAAAAUGCACCAAUCAGCAGGAUGUGGGUGGGGCCAAAUAAGGUUAUAAAAGCUGGCCACCGGAGCCUGCAGGAACAACCCAAUUGGGUCCUUUUCCAUCCUGUGGAAGCUUUCUUCUUUCACUCUUCACAAUAAAUCUUGCUGAUGCUCACUCUUUAUGAGCUGUAACACUCACCAGAGGGUCUGUGGCUUCAUUCCUGAAGUCAGUGAGACCACGAACCCACCAACCCACGGGGAGGAACAAACAACUCCAGAUGCACUGCCUUUAAGGGCUGUAACACUCACUGCAAAGGUCUGCGGCUUCACUCCUGAAGUAAAUGAAACCACGAACCCACUGGAAGGAAGAAACUCGGGACACAUCUGAACGUCUGAAGGAACAAACUCCGGGCACACCAUCUUUAAGAACUGUAACAGCUCACCACGAGGGUCCACGGCUUCGUUCUUGAAGUCAGCGAGACCAAGAACCCACCAGAAGGAACCAAUUCUGGACACAGGGUGAAAUGGAAUAAGUCUAUGCAAAGUUACCACAAAGACACAAAAAGUGAGAAUUAACACAUUUCAGCUGGAUGAAACUUCUCACCAGAAACAACCAUGAAGAAAAAUAAACAUGUAAGAAAUGAUUCAAAAUGAGUUAAAUAUACUAAAAUCUCAAAUCUGAAGAGCCACUUUGAAUUAGAAAUCUGAAAACUGAAAGCAAAAAUAGAAAAAGCAGAAAAAAAUGAACAGAGUUGAUUGAACUUAGCAAAGAAAUGAUAAAAAGAAGACAAAAUCAUCUCAGAGUGAAGAAGACCGAAAUGGAAGAUAAUAAAGUGAAUUGACGGAACGCAAGAAAAUAAUCUGCAAAUGAAUAUAAGUUAACAAACAUCACAAAGCACCAGCUCCUUUAAUUGAGAAAAGAAGAAAGCACGAUGUACAAAAUAAUGACAAGGGGGACUAACCACUGAAACGGUAUGCAUCUGAGGAGAUGGCGAAGACAUUUUUAACAUCUUUAUCAGGAUCUACUGGGAGCAAGGACAUUACCAACCACAGGAGAUAACUAUAAAGCAUUCCAAAAGUAGCUCCUGUCAUGCCCUGUCCUGGGUUCUGCUAGAGGCACAGUGUUUGACCAUGGAGCAUCAAGUGACCAAGUGACCAGUGCCCCGUCAUGAGCUGCAUCGGGUCACACCCACAAAGACAUAGUUUCAUGCUGUACCUGUUAAGAGGUCCUGGCUUCCAGAAGGAAAUUACUUCCACCAGUGGACAUGGUGGAGGAGAGUGGAGGGGAGUAAGAUUAGAAGCAAGGAUACCAGUAGGAUGCAGUUACAGCAAUCCAGGUGGCUGUGCUACAAUUGUAAUAACAUCAGAUCUGUGCUGGUCUAGGCUGACCAUGGUCUGAGCCACCAGCCAAAAGCCACCAGGAUUGUAUCUGAAUUGAAUGAGUUGGAAUUGACCUUUUGUUAAAUGAGCUGAAUCUCCCGAAAAGAAGAAGCCCAUGAUGGAGAACUGUGGAGUACCAGCAUCUCUGUUGGAGAGUGUUAGAAAGGACUUACUACAGGAGCCUGGGCCUCGUGUGAGGAGCAGUGGACAUCUCCGGAGGGAGCCACCUGAACAGAUGCUGGCUGUCUCGUGCCGAGGCCCCGCGCCAGAUCACAGAACUGUGAAGUGAUCCUGGGCAGAGCGGCCACUGAUCGAGUCACUCCAUCCAAGUCAGAAGCACCGCCAAACGCACCUCGAACUUUUGGACUCCGCUUCAUUUUCUACUCUACUGUGACUAUUUCAAUAACUUCAUAUCUUCAUUUUAUGGUGGGGGGGAGGUGUCUGGAAUGUUGGAAUUGCUUAUAAGCCAUUUUAUUACCCUCUAUUAUGACUUUCCGAACUCCUCCAAAGUCCUGUGAGCUCACUGAAAUAUCUUGGUAUGCCCAAUGCCUUUCAUCAUGUGAUACCUAGAGCACUCAAAUAAACAUUUUUGAAAUAAUUUGAUAUAGGAAUGGCCUAUAAGCUCUGCAGCCAAGGAUAGGAUCACCACCCAUGAAAACCAGCUCAGUCAGGGAUGCUUGCAGUUUUGUUUUCUGAGAGACUCAUGCAAAUGCCUACUUUAAGGAACAUAGAUAUUUUUAUGAGCACAUGCUUCCAU